AGAGUUUGAUUCUGGCUCAGGAUGAACGCUGGCGGCGUGCCUAACACAUGCAAGUCGAACGGGCGUACGGGAUGGAAGGCUCCGGCCGGAAGCCCCGUGCAUGAGUGGCGGACGGGUGAGUAACGCGUGGGCAACCUGCCCUGUACAGGGGGACAACACUUAGAAAUAGGUGCUAAUACCGCAUAACGGGGGGAGCCGCAUGGCACCCCCCCUGAAAACUCCGGUGGUACAGGAUGGGCCCGCGUCUGAUUAGCUGGUUGGCAGGGUAACGGCCUACCAAGGCGACGAUCAGUAGCCGGCCUGAGAGGGCGGACGGCCACACUGGGACUGAGACACGGCCCAAACUCCUACNGGAGGCAGCAGUGGGGGAUAUUGCACAAUGGGGGGAACCCUGAUGCAGCGACGCCGCGUGGGUGAAGGACCGUUUCGGCGCGUAAAGC
rnacentral:rRNA from 1 species